UACGUAGGGGGCAAGCGUUGUCCGGAAUCAUUGGGCGUAAAGCGCGUGUAGGCGGCCCGGUAAGUCCGCUGUGAAAGUCGGGGGCUCAACCCUCGAAUGCCGGUGGAUACUGUCGAGCUAGAGUGCGGGAGAGGCGAGUGGAAUUCCUGGUGUAGCGGUGAAAUGCGCAGAUAUCAGGAGGAACACCAAUUGCGAAGGCAGCUCGCUGGAACGUAACUGACGCUGAGACGCGAAAGCGUGGGGAGCAAACAGG
rnacentral:rRNA from 1 species